GAACAAGGGGGAACCAGGCCAAAAACAUGCAAGUCGAACGCUUCUUUUUCCACCGGAGCUUGCUCCACCGGAAAAAGAGGAGUGGCGAACGGGUGAGUAACACGUGGGUAACCUGCCCAUCAGAAGGGGAUAACACUUGGAAACAGGUGCUAAUACCGUAUAACAAUCGAAACCGCAUGGUUUUGAUUUGAAAGGCGCUUUCGGGUGUCGCUGAUGGAUGGACCCGCGGUGCAUUAGCUAGUUGGUGAGGUAACGGCUCACCAAGGCGACGAUGCAUAGCCGACCUGAGAGGGUGAUCGGCCACAUUGGGACUGAGACACGGCCCAAACUCCUACGGGAGGCAGCAGUAGGGAAUCUUCGGCAAUGGACGAAAGUCUGACCGAGCAACGCCGCGUGAGUGAAGAAGGUUUUCGGAUCGUAAAACUCUGUUGUUAGAGAAGAACAAGGAUGAGAGUAACUGUUCAUCCCUUGACGGUAUCUAACCAGAAAGCCACGGCUAACUACGUGCCAGCAGCCGCGGUAAUACGUAGGUGGCAAGCGUUGUCCGGAUUUAUUGGGCGUAAAGCGAGCGCAGGCGGUUUCUUAAGUCUGAUGUGAAAGCCCCCGGCUCAACCGGGGAGGGUCAUUGGAAACUGGGAGACUUGAGUGCAGAAGAGGAGAGUGGAAUUCCAUGUGUAGCGGUGAAAUGCGUAGAUAUAUGGAGGAACACCAGUGGCGAAGGCGGCUCUCUGGUCUGUAACUGACGCUGAGGCUCGAAAGCGUGGGGAGCAAACAGGAUUAGAUACCCUGGUAGUCCACGCCGUAAACGAUGAGUGCUAAGUGUUGGAGGGUUUCCGCCCUUCAGUGCUGCAGCUAACGCAUUAAGCACUCCGCCUGGGGAGUACGACCGCAAGGUUGAAACUCAAAGGAAUUGACGGGGGCCCGCACAAGCGGUGGAGCAUGUGGUUUAAUUCGAAGCAACGCGAAGAACCUUACCAGGUCUUGACAUCCUUUGACCACUCUAGAGAUAGAGCUUCCCCUUCGGGGGCAAAGUGACAGGUGGUGCAUGGUUGUCGUCAGCUCGUGUCGUGAGAUGUUGGGUUAAGUCCCGCAACGAGCGCAACCCUUAUUGUUAGUUGCCAUCAUUUAGUUGGGCACUCUAGCAAGACUGCCGGUGACAAACCGGAGGAAGGUGGGGAUGACGUCAAAUCAUCAUGCCCCUUAUGACCUGGGCUACACACGUGCUACAAUGGGAAGUACAACGAGUCGCAAAGUCGCGAGGCUAAGCUAAUCUCUUAAAGCUUCUCUCAGUUCGGAUUGUAGGCUGCAACUCGCCUACAUGAAGCCGGAAUCGCUAGUAAUCGCGGAUCAGCACGCCGCGGUGAAUACGUUCCCGGGCCUUGUACACACCGCCCGUCACACCACGAGAGUUUGUAACACCCGAAGUCGGUGAGGUAACCUUUUGGAGCCAGCCGCCUAAGGUGUAAAGGGG
rnacentral:rRNA from 1 species